UACGAAGGUGGCAAGCGUUGUUCGGAAUUACUGGGCGUAAAGAGUGUGUAGGCGGUGCUCUAAGUCUGUCGUGAAAUCUCCCGGCUUAACUGGGAGGGUGCGGCGGAAACUGGUGUGCUCGAGGGUGGGAGAGGUAAGCGGAAUUCCUGGUGUAGCGGUGAAAUGCGUAGAUAUCAGGAGGAACACCUGCGGUGUAGACAGCUUACUGGACCACUUCUGACGCUGAGACACGAAAGCGUGGGUAGCAAACAGG
rnacentral:rRNA from 1 species